GUUAUACAUAAUAAUAAUAAUUAAGGUAAGUGUAACGUACAUUUGCAUUUUGCAACAGAAACAGCUUCUUAUAGAGUAUUGUUUUACAGGCUAAUCUUUUUUUAUGUAAUGUAUUCAAAUGUAAUUAUAAUUAGGAUUGGGAUAAUACAAAAAUAUACUUUUUGCUUAGUGAUAUCUAUUACAUUGUGACAGAAUUUGGUUUCUCAAUAAUUCUCAUCCCGAGUGCCAAACUGAUCAACUGCAUCCUAAUGGAACGUUCAAGAUGUGAUUCAGUAACUGAUACGGUUGUUGCAAUAAUUAUUUUUGACCAAAUUGAGUCCACAAAAUAAUUGAAGAAAUGGUUUCAGAUGAUUACGAACAAGCGCCAGCUAUCUUUGGAGAGGUAAUGCACCUACUGAUAUCCCGUGAUAAGAACUUUGGAGAGAUUUAGUGAAAACCUGGAGAACGGCCACUUAGCUCACAAAUCUGAGCUGUUCACAUCAAGCUGAUAUUUAUGACAGCCAUUAUAGCUUUAAUCAUUUUCUCGAUUGAUCAAAGCACCACAGACUGCAUCGUUCGUCACCUCUGCCUUUAAGCGCGUUAUCACCUACUCCAAUAAGCCACCCCAAUAUCCUUAAUAAGCAAUAGAAGUUCUUAUCGACUGUGUAUGACUCAUUAAUAUCCAUGUUCUGUAUAAAUUUAUGUGAUAGGCCUACUGGUAUUAAUGUUGAUGUACCGUAAUGUUUUUUGCUCAUGUAUAAUUGAUAAUAAUACAUUAAAAAUAAAUAUAAUGUUAAAUUAUUA